GGAUGGGGCAAGCAUGGCCCCCAAGCAUCUCCCCAUCUGUGUCUUAUGAGCCCCGAGCCGGCUUCCGGACCCCAGACCUUCCACGUGACAGCGAACCUGCAGGCCUCUGCCAGAGGAGAGAUUGUCUUGGGUGCAGUCAGCAGAAACCGAACCUCUGCCACCCUGCGGAGGUGCUGUCUCUGCCCCCCAGGCUGCAGCUGUGCAAACCUCAGACAACCGGUGCUCAGCCAGAGACGUGGGGAAAGGGAGGGCCAGGAGCCCUGUGUCCAGCACACGGGAGGGAGGGAGUCCCAUCUUGCCUACUCCACCCUUCUGUGAGCUCACAGGUGAGGACAAGGAGACAGCUUUAGGGGAAGACUCAUUCAAUGAACACUCACAGCCAGCAGUGUCAUCUUAGUGGUGGCACUGUCUCUAGAAUCUUAUAAAUCACUUUCAUUAAAACUCAUCAAACAGGACUCAAACAACAUUAGCAGAAAACUGUCCUGUGACAAAGCUACCUAAUCAGAUACUGGAUGUUCUGAACAUUCAGGAAACUGGGCCUCCCCUGGUGCCCAGUGGGUCCAGGGCAGUGCCUGAGGCUCUUUCAUUGCUCCUGGCUGUGGCUUCAGUGCUUGGAAGAGCACCCGAGUUCUCUGCAUUGGCAGGGAGACGGGGUGUUUGUAUAAAUCCUCUUGGAAACACAGAAACGCAGUUGCACAAACAACCUGCAGCUACAGAAGAGUGGCUUAGGAGGGGCCCUGGGGAGGAGCAGUGCUCCUGAGUAGAAUGUGGGACAUUCUAAAGCACACUCCUAUGCCAGCGCUCGGGAGGCUGAGGCAGGAGGAAUGUUGAGUUCAAGGCCAGCCUGGACUACAGCGAGACUCUGUCUCAAACAAACCAACAAACAAGCAAACAAACAGACAAAAUGAAAAAGUAACUGGCUUAGCAGGCCUAGGAUGUGAACAGUCACGGGGCUCUUGCCUGGCUUGUCUUGUGGGGAGUAGCCUGGGAGCCAGAGUGGGCAGCUCCUGACCCUCUACCUUCAGAAAGAGGAAUUCACACUUCCGUGCUGCUGCAUCUCCAUCCUGCACUAUGCUCUGUGGUGGCUUUGCACUUCCAUUUUCUCUCACAGUGAAACCAAAGAGCCGUACAAGGUGAGAGAGCAGCCCAAGUGUGAACAGGGCAGAGGCUGUGAGAAGAGGCAGGCAGCACCGUCUCCAGUUCAGGACCCUCUGGACCCAGUGCUCAGUGGAGAGGGGGCUACAUCCCUGGCCUUGGCAUUACUUGGACCCCUCUGGCUCCUGCCUUGUGGUACCCAGAGAGCAGGGCAUCCUGAGGUCCUGCACCAGGUUGCCCCCUCCUCAACCAGGCUUCUUAUCCUCAGUGGGUCCAGGCUGCACACUGGACACCUGAGCUGACUUCUGGCUUUGUCCUCCACUGCAGGCCCCACCCUCACACCCAAAGCCCAACAGCACUGUCCUCUGUCUCCAGCCUGUGUGGCUGCGUCUGUACCAGUCCCCAACAGUGACUUCUCACUCCUCGCCCACUGCCCAGUGCUGGGCCCGUGGUGGGGGUUCACUCAUGCAUGUGCCCCUUCCCGAUACACUGAAAGAGGACUGGGUUCCAUGAACUCCUGACAGGAAGAGGAUAUGGAGGGCUGAAAGGAUGGAAAAGAAUAGGCUGGGGAUUUAGCUCAGUGGUUUUGCCGCCUGCCUGCAUAGCGCAAGAACCCGAGUUCGAUCUCCGGUAUAAAAAAAAAAAAAAAUGGAUGGAAAAGAAUCUGCUGUGGUUCAAACAAGGGCAAUGUCCCCCAGAAGUGCACUGCUACAGCCCUGGUCUGCAGGGAGGUGCUCUUGGGAGGAGCUGUGACCUUCAGGCGGGGGACUAGGUCAGACGUCCUCAGGUCACUGGGGACCUGCCCUUGAAGGGGACUGUGAAGCCCCAGGCUCCCCCUUCCCGGCUCAAGAUCUGACUGCUGGCUCUGACCAGUGAGAGCUCCCGCCACCACAUCCACCACCCCACCAAAGCAAAUAAACGGGGCUGCCAGCCCAAAAUAGGCUCUUGACCCCGCCAAACUGAGCUACCAAAAUGUUUUCUUUAUAAUGUUGAUUGGCUCAGGUAUUUCAUUAUAGUGAUGGAAGUCGACUAAUUCAUUGGGUUUCCUCUUCUGAGACCUUAAAGUCACAGGCAGGGCACGAAAGGACUUUCUCAACUCAGUGAGAGCCAGACCAGGAAAGGGGACAGGGGCUCCUCCAGGGUUGGGAGGAGGGGUCACAUAGGCGUCUCCCCAGACCAGGGAAGGAGCUGGGUGAGCGGGUGUUGGGGGCCAACCCAGGACUUAGCAGCUCCUCAAGUCCCACUCUGUCCCCUCCCCUGCCUGCUCUGAGACCAGAGGAGCCCCACAGGCCAACAUCAGAUCCCAGGGGCACUGGGAGGGGAGGGCUGUAUAGACUUUGCCUAUGGUGGAGCUGGGCCAGCAAGGUGUCCAUGGUAUGCAUGCAAGCAGAGGGUCUGCGCAAGGUUUGUGCUCUUGGCCAGCCCUGGAAGCUGGCUCAGGCAGUGCUCAGAACAGCCAUGAGAGAGGUGUUUUCAUAGCAUGAGAGCAAUUCCCCAGAGGGUUGCAACUUCUUGUUUUAUUUAUUUAUUUAUUUAUUUAUUUUUAUUUAUUUUCAAGAGACAGGAUCUCACUAUGUAGCCCAGGCUGGCCUUGAACUUGCAGCAAUCCUCCUGACUCAGCCUCCCAGCGUUGGCAUUAUAGGGGUGCACCACCAUGACAAGGUCAACUCUUGUUUUAGUAACAAAAUUCAUGCUAAAAAUAAAUAUUUACUGAGUGGCUGGUUUGACACUCACCCUGCCAAGGCCCAAGCAGGGAGUGAUCUCUUCUCUUUAGAACAAGAAUGCUUGGAGAAGCCUGAGGUAUGGGGUGGGGCCUCCCCUGGCUGGAGACCUCUUCUGAGUGGGAGCUGUGGUUGGGAAUCUGUACUUUAAUUGCUCCUUAGUGAUUCCGUCACAAACCAAAUUUCUAAGCCUUGCUCUGGCGAAUGAGGAAGAGAGUCUUGUAAAACCAAACCAAACCAAACCAAACCAAACCAAACCAAACCAAACCAAACAACAUCACUGCCGCUGAUUCGUGUGAAGGGUGAGUGAAGAGCUUCUGCUGCCCCUGAGAGCUCCAAUGUGCCCCUUGGAUUUUCUUGUCCCUUUGAAAAUUCCUGGGCUUACUCUGUCCCUGAUGCUGGGCUCCCUGGAGUGGGCAUUCCCUGGUUCAUGUGUUUGAUGAGCUCUCCCGGUUGCAGGCUGGGGGGACGUGCUCUAGUUUAGCCCUUGAAUGUCCCCCAAAGUCCUGGGCAUUCAAGCAUGGGUCCCCAGGUGGUAGAGGGCCUGAGAGAGGCUGGGCCUGGUGGGACCUUGCAGGGAGGACGGACCCUGGCCCUCCUUCUUCCUCUGCUGCUUCCUGGCCAUCAAGUGAGAGCCUCAUGAUGGCCGAGCUACGGUCCCAGAACAAGGAAGCUGAGCCAUCACAGCUGCCUGGAACCCCAAAACCGAGAGCCCAAAUAAACCUGUUCUCUGUGGUGACUGUCUUAGAUAUUUUGUUAUAAUGAUGGACACCUAAGGCAGGAGGGCUUAGAGCAGAAGAGCUAACAUGGAUUUUCAAUUUUCUUAAUAUCAUAAAGGUUUUUAAAAAAACUACGAGCUCUGUGACUUGAAUGAGUUGAAUUUUUAAACAAAUGACAGAGGAGACAUGAAGAGCUGAAGGUCAGUGGACUUGGGAUGGUGGCCAGGGACCUUGCUGGUGGGCCCGAGGGACAGGGUCACUCCAAGGGAAAGAAACCCAAGCCUAGCCUGUCUGUUGCUGCUAUAACAGAAUACCCCAGACCAGGUAGUUUACAAAGGACAGUAGCUUGUUUCUGACAGUUCUGGAGGCCAGAAGUCCAAGAUGAAGGAGUCAGGUUUGGUGUCUGAUGGGGAUGUGCUCUUCCCAAGAUGGCGCCUCUGUGUCCUGCAGGGCUAAGGAUGCUGGGCCUUGCUGGGAGGAAGGCAGAGGGUCUGGAGUGGGCUGUUGCAGGAAGGGGAAUCCAUUGGGGUCUCAGUGCCCCCUCAGGAGGGGAGGUGGCCCACGGCUGAUCCCUCAUCAGGCCAGCCUGUUCAGGAUGUUACAUUGGCCUCUGAGUUUCAGCGCUGAGCGCUGGGGGACCCUGUAAACCACUGCAGGGCAGGACCUGCUAUUGUCAUACUAAUGGUCGCUAGGGCUCUGAUUCCCAAAGUGGGUCCCCACAUCCUCAGCUGGGCUACUUCUCUCCUGCCUCCCUGUGUGGGAAGACAGGGCCACCAUUCCCUCUUGUGGCACAGAGCAAACUUCUCUGUCACCUAGCUCUCCUCUCCUGGAUGUCCACCUGUCAGUCCUGUGAGGAUCCAGGCAGAGCUGUGUCUUUUAUGGAGUUCUAAAGCUGCAGUAAUUGUGUUGGUUGAUAUAACCUGAGACAAUUGAGAUUGUUUGCUUAAAAUAUUUGUGUGUGAAUGGAAAAGACAAUAAUUUCUCAGCAGAGAGAUCUGAUGAAACUACUUUUAAACCAAGUGGUGGAGCUCAAAUCAGCAACAUCGGGAUAAAUCGCCACCUGUGGCACCCAACGUGAAGCCCAGGUUGACGUGAAAAUUGUGUGGGGCUUUGCUGCCCCACAAGCACAGCCUGAGUCAAUUCCUGAGGGAACAUAGGGAAGUCAGCUGAGAGUCCUGCAAAGCAUCUGGCCAGCACUAUCCAAACACUCAGGUCUAGGAACACAGGGAAGGGUCUAGGUGCAUAAGAAUGGACUAGGGCAUGCACAGAGGCCCCAGUAACACUGGCAGGGACAGCAAUAUGGAGAGUCACAGGGACGGCAGGGCCCCAGGGCAGAGAUAUUGAUCUCCAUUGUGGUUAGGGAGAGAAUGUCCUUGUGCUUAAGAAACAGACACCUGGGGCAGGGAUGUGCCUCAGGGUAGAGUGUUUGUCUAGUUCAUGUGAAGAUCUGGGUUCCAUCUCCAGCAGAGAGAGAGCCAGAGAGAGAGAGAGAGAGAGAGAGAGAGAGAGAGAGAGAGAACAAUGUACAACAAAAACAGUUGAAAUAUCCAGGAGUAUGCAGAAUGCCUGUGACUCUCAAACGGGUUAAACAGAACGAUACUGGGUGAAACCUUACACAUAGGGGCCAGGGAUUUAGCCCGUGGUUCCGCCACCUGUCUCACACGUUCAAGGACCCGAGUUUGAUCCCCAGUACCAAAAAACAGAAACAAAACAAAACAAAACCUUACACGUAGAUGGGCCUGGGAAACAGGACUUGAAGUCUUUGAACAAUUGCUGCAUUUUUCCCUCUGUGGAAACACACUUUAAAAUGUCUAUGGAUACAUGGAAUAUUCAAGUUAUUAAUACAGUUCCUUUUUGUAAUAAGAUUAUGGGUGGUAUUUCUUUUUCUCUUUGAAAACCUGUUUUCUCCCCAGUAUUCGGCAAGGAGCAGACAUUGUACUUGGGAUUCUUUCUUUUCAUGCACACUGUAGCACUGCUGACCAACGGAGAGGCUGGGAGGAGAGGCUGGUGGCUGUCCCAGCGUGCGACCCCCAACCCCACUCACACAGCUAAGCCCCCCAUGGCUCUGUGGUCACAGGAAGUCAGGGUGUCCUGAGGGCUCUGUUUCUGUUUCUUUCUGCUGGUGAGGUUAUAGUGUUAUUUUUUUCCUCUUCACCCAUGCCUGCUCUUCCAAGGAUUUGAAAUCACUCAGAGCCAGACAUACACACACACACACACACACACACACACAAAUAGAACCAGUUGCACUUUGCUUUGCCUGCAGCAUCCCUGGGGUAUAGCUCCAGGGUCCAAUGGGAAACCGUGGUCUAAAGAAGAUCUGGUUCCUGCAUAGGACGGUGUUGUGUUAGUCUUCACAGGCGACCUAAGUGCAUCCUCCUGAAGCUUGUCCAGAUUAGUAAUAACACAAUCCCAUGUGGAUGCUGUAUGAGCAGUUGUAAGACUAUUUUGCUGGGGAAAAUGAUAGGAGAAGGUCUGCAUGUGUUAAGUAUAGAUGCCGCUCUUUUCAGUCAUUUUCUGCCCCCUCCCACAUGGACUCACAGGGCUGCCUGUCUAUUGCUGAAGGAAGAGGAUUUAAUUCAUUUGGCUGCUGAGGAGAGAAAUUUGCUGUGGUUGCCCCUUAUGCGUGGAGCUCUGCUG
rnacentral:lncRNA from 1 species